GUGCUUUUGCACAUUGGGUAGGGGAGCGUUCUGUAAGCGGUUGAAGGUGUGUGGUAACGCAUGCUGGACGUAUCAGAAGUGCGAAUGCUGACAUGAGUAACGAUAAAGGGGGUGAAAAACCUCCUCGCCGGAAGACCAAGGGUUCCUGUCCAACGUUAAUCGGGGCAGGGUAAGUCGACCCCUAAGGCGAGGCCGAAAGGCGUAGUCGAUGGGAAACGGGUUAAUAUUCCCGUACUUCUUACAAUUGCGAUGGGGGGACGGAGAAGGCUAGGUGGGCCUGGCGACGGUUGUCCAGGUUCAAGUGCGUAGGCUUGAGAGUUAGGUAAAUCCGGCUCUCUUUAAGGCUGAGACACGAUGUCGAGCUACUACGGUAGUGAAGUCAUUGAUGCCAUGCUUCCAGGAAAA
rnacentral:rRNA from 1 species